GUGACCAACAAGGGGCGAACCAAGCUGCCUCCGGGUGUGGAUCGGAUGAGGCUGGAGAGGCAUCUGUCAGCAGAGGACUUCUCCAGGGUAUUUUCCAUGUCUCCCGAAGAGUUUGGCAAGCUGGCUCUGUGGAAGCGAAAUGAACUCAAGAAAAAAGCCUCUCUCUUCUGACGACCCCCACCCACUCUGGAACUGACCCUCACCCCUGCUGCAUCAGGGCUCUGCAGCUGGGGUCCCUAGACCCCAAAGCAUCAGCUCUGGGCAGCAGGGAGGUGGGGUGAGGGUGGGGUUGGCUCUGAUGCCCAGGUUGAGGGGGAGCAAGACCUCUGCAGUGUUGGGACUCUCUUCCCCAUAAUGCUCUGGGGGGGUUCCCCUUCUCACAUCCCAGGUCCUCAUUGCACUGGACAAACCCAGUCUGGACUCCAGCACACACAGAGUUAAUGUCGGCACCCUCUCCGUGCCCUACCCCCACCCCCCACCACCUCCAGGUCCCCCGAAGAGAGUGAUGAGAAAUGAACCUGCACUUAGUGGUCAGGCCUGUGUGCUAUCCUGACCAAUGGAUGGGGGGAUCCUCGGGCCUGGCAGGAAGGCAGAGAAGCCCCAGGACCCUGUGUGCACCCAAGCACUCCUCAGCAGCUGACCUCAGACAGGUCCCCUGCACCUGGGCCUCCCGCCCCUCUGACUCCAGCAGGAGCAGCGCUCGGCCUCCAGCAGGGAGGCCACCCUUUCCUCUUCCUUGCGACCCCCCAAGCCUUGAAGCCUCUUGCUCCAGCCCCGUGGCUUCCCCAGAAGCCUUGGCUUAGAGUGGAGAUGUCGCCUAUACAGAACCCCAGCCCACCAGCAGCCUCCAGGCCAAGUCAUCGAGAAUGCUACCUUCUAAGGACCCGGGCCCUGCACAGAACCCAGGCCUUUGGGCUCCCUUGAAUGGGAUCAACAGCUGGGCUGUGUUCUGACCCCGGGUCUUGCCCAGGCCCGUGCAUCUCCCACCACGCUCUUGAAAGAAUGUAAUUUCUUGGGGCACCCCAGCUGCUUCCCCCACCUCACUCUCUACCCUACCUUUACCACGCUCUCAGCUUU
rnacentral:lncRNA from 1 species